rnacentral:rRNA from 1 species
UACGCGUGGGUAACCUGCCCUGUACAGGGGGAUAACAGCUGGAAACGGCUGCUAAUACCGCAUAAGCGCACGAGGAGACAUCUCCUUGUGUGAAAAACUCCGGUGGUACAGGAUGGGCCCGCGUCUGAUUAGCUGGUUGGCAGGGUAACGGCCUACCAAGGCAACGAUCAGUAGCCGGUCUGAGAGGAUGAACGGCCACAUUGGAACUGAGACACGGUCCAAACUCCUACGGGAGGCAGCAGUGGGGAAUAUUGCACAAUGGGGGAAACCCUGAUGCAGCAACGCCGCGUGAGUGAAGAAGUAUUUCGGUAUGUAAAGCUCUAUCAGCAGGGAAGAUAAUGACGGUACCUGACUAAGAAGCUCCGGCUAAAUACGUGCCAGCAGCCGCGGUAAUACGUAUGGAGCAAGCGUUAUCCGGAUUUACUGGGUGUAAAGGGUGCGUAGGUGGCAGUGCAAGUCAGAUGUGAAAGGCCGGGGCUCAACCCCGGAGCUGCAUUUGAAACUGCAUAGCUAGAGUACAGGAGAGGCAGGCGGAAUUCCUAGUGUAGCGGUGAAAUGCGUAGAUAUUAGGAGGAACACCAGUGGCGAAGGCGGCCUGCUGGACUGUUACUGACACUGAGGCACGAAAGCGUGGGGAGCAAACAGGAUUAGAUACCCUGGUA